rnacentral:tRNA from 1 species
GCUCGAAUGGUGGAAUGGUAGACACGAAGGACUUAAAAUCCUUUGGACAGAAAUGUCCGUGCGAGUUCGAGUCUCGCUUCGAGCA